UCCAGAGCUGCUGGGUGGUGCUGAAUUAUCUGAAGGUGCAGAGAAGAUAAGCGUGGCCCCUGCACAAGGAUGACACAAAUGCCUGCAGCUUCCCAUCUUUUU
rfam:Picoides pubescens contig15751, whole genome shotgun sequence.